GGGGAUGAAGAAUGAGGAGAGGAGGAGGGGAUGAAGAAUGAGGAGAGGAGGAGGAGAUGGAGAAUGAGGACAAUAAGGAGAAUGAGGAGAGAUGGAGAAUUAGGAGAAGGGGAUGGAGAAUGAGGAAAGGAGGUGGAGAUGGAAAUGAGCGGAGGAGGAGAUGGAGAAUGAAGGAGAGAAUGAGGAGAGGAGGAGGAGAUGGAGAAUGAGAAGAGGAGGAGAGGAGGAGGGGGAGAUGGAUUGGGAGAAUGAGGAGAGGAGGAGGGGGAGAUGGAGUGGGGGAAUGAGGAGAGGAGAAGGAGUGGCAGAAUGAGGAGAGGAGAGAGGGGAGGCUGAGGAUUAGGGGAGAAGAAGGAGAUGAAAGGAGCAGGACGAGAAAAUGAGGAAGAGAAAGGGAGACGAGGAUGAGCUGGCGCAUAUGGGAAGAAGAAGAGGAGGGGAGG